rnacentral:rRNA from 1 species
UCGAGCGGACAGAAGGGAGCUUGCUCCCGGAUGUUAGCGGCGGACGGGUGAGUAACACGUGGGUAACCUGCCUGUAAGACUGGGAUAACUCCGGGAAACCGGAGCUAAUACCGGAUAGUUCCUUGAACCGCAUGGUUCAAGGAUGAAAGACGGUUUCGGCUGUCACUUACAGAUGGACCCGCGGCGCAUUAGCUAGUUGGUGAGGUAACGGCUCACCAAGGCGACGAUGCGUAGCCGACCUGAGAGGGUGAUCGGCCACACUGGGACUGAGACACGGCCCAGACUCCUACGGGAGGCAGCAGUAGGGAAUCUUCCGCAAUGGACGAAAGUCUGACGGAGCAACGCCGCGUGAGUGAUGAAGGUUUUCGGAUCGUAAAGCUCUGUUGUUAGGGAAGAACAAGUGCAAGAGUAACUGCUUGCACCUUGACGGUACCUAACCAGAAAGCCACGGCUAACUACGUGCCAGCAGCCGCGGUAAUACGUAGGUGGCAAGCGUUGUCCGGAAUUAUUGGGCGUAAAGGGCUCGCAGGCGGUUUCUUAAGUCUGAUGUGAAAGCCCCCGGCUCAACCGGGGAGGGUCAUUGGAAACUGGGAAACUUGAGUGCAGAAGAGGAGAGUGGAAUUCCACGUGUAGCGGUGAAAUGCGUAGAGAUGUGGAGGAACACCAGUGGCGAAGGCGACUCUCUGGUCUGUAACUGACGCUGAGGAGCGAAAGCGUGGGGAGCGAACAGGAUUA